GACAGAGGGUGCGAACGUUGUUCGGAAUUACUGGGCAUAAAGGGUGCGUAGGUGGCUUGCUAAGUCAGUGGUGAAAUCGUCCGGCCCAACCGGACACGUGCCAAUGAUACUGGUGAGCUUGAGUGCGUGAGGGGUAGGGGGAACGAGCAGUGUAGCGGUGAAAUGCGUAGAUAUUGCUCGGAAGGCCAAAGCCGAAGGGACCCUACUGGUACGUAACUGACACUGAGGCACGAAAGCGUGGGGAGCAAACAGG
rnacentral:rRNA from 1 species